UCUUUAUAUUAAAUUAAAUUUUAAUUUAUAUAGUAAUUUUUAACUAUAAUUUACUUUAUUAUUUUAUUGGGGUGAUAACAAGAUUUAUUAAACUCUUGUAUUAAUUUAACAUAGAUUAAUGGUUAAUUGAUCUAUUUUUAAUGAUUAAAAGUUUAAGU
rnacentral:rRNA from 1 species